rnacentral:rRNA from 1 species
ACAUACCGCCCGUCACUCUCCCCAAGGCUAAAAGUCUUAAAUAUUUUUAAUAAAUUUUACCAGCAAAGAGGAGGCAAGUCGUAACAUGGUAAGUGUACCGGAAGGUGUACUUGGACAAACUCAAAGUGUAGCUAAACAGAAAAGCAUCUCCCUUAC